UACAGAGGUCCCGAGCGUUGUUCGGAUUCACUGGGCGUAAAGGGUGCGUAGGUGGCGUGGUAAGUUUGAUGUGAAAGCUCAGGGCUUAACCCUGAAAUGGCAUUGAAUACUACCAUGCUGGAGGUUUGGAGGGGGGACUGGAAUUCUUGGUGUAGCAGUGAAAUGCGUAGAUAUCAAGAGGAACACCAGUGGCGAAGGCGGCGUUCUGGACUGUUACUGACACUGAGGAACGAAAGCCAGGGGAGCAAACGGG
rnacentral:rRNA from 1 species